GACAAAGAAAUACAGUCACUAAAAUUCAUUUGACAGAGUUUAGAUUAGCAGUGACCCGGCAGUUGAGUUCCUACUCUACUCUGCUGGCAAUCAGUGCUCCGUCUGAUAGCAAAAAACGUCAACGUGCUAAAUUUCGAAGGGCGUACUGCGCAUGUGCCACGGCCAUAUUAUUUUCGGACAAUCAAUAGGGGUGAAGCCUGGGUAGAGAAUAACAAAUCAAUAAAAUGAAGGUAACAACAAGACACUGCUUCUUUUAGUUCAGUCUGGGUUUUUCCUGAUUACUUUAGAUUCCCUGAGGUACAAUUCAAACGCGCCAACCAAUCAGCGAAUAGAAGGAGAAGUUGUGAACAAUGACGACAAUUUUCUGUGCUGCUUUAUAUUGUAGUCUGCCUGUAGUUUUAGCAAUGACCGCAGAGGACGUAAACGAAACCACGCUUCUAAAUACUGAAUUAACAUUAACAGCCAUCUCAUUCAGCUUGGCCCUUCUCUCUUGGCAGCAGAGGAUGAUUGUUUACAAUGCGGGCAAUUUCCGGUCUAUGACAGCAGCUGUGGAGUCACCCAGCCAGACUGUGACCUUAUCAAGAGUCAGAAAAACAUCUUAAUGAAUGCUGCCUUCAAGAUUCAGGGUAUCUUUAAUAUCCCCUAUGGGGCAAUUUAUACUACAGCCAGAGGAAUAAGCAUUCACCAACAAUAAAUACAGUAAAUAAGAUUUU